GAUGAACGCUAGCGGCAGGCCUAACACAUGCAAGUCGAGGGGUAGCAGGAUUAAGCUUGCUUAAUUGCUGACGACCGGCGCACGGGUGCGUAACGCGUAUGCAACCUACCUUAUACUGGGGUAUAGCCCGGAGAAAUUCGGAUUAAUCCCCCAUAGUACUAAUGAAUCGCAUGGUUUAUUAGUUAAAGCAUUGCGGUAUAAGAUGGGCAUGCGUCCUAUUAGCUAGAUGGUGAGGUAACGGCUCACCAUGGCUACGAUAGGUAGGGGGCCUGAGAGGGGGGUCCCCCACACUGGUACUGAGACACGGACCAGACUCCUACGGGAGGCAGCAGUGAGUAAUAUUGGUCAAUGGGCGCAAGCCUGAACCAGCCAUGCCGCGUGCAGGAAGAAUGCCCUAUGGGUUGUAAACUGCUUUUAUUUGGGAAUAAACCUCUUUACGUGUAGAGAGCUGGAGGUACCAAAUGAAUAAGCACCGGCUAACUCCGUGCCAGCCGCCGCGGUAA
rnacentral:rRNA from 1 species